AUGCAACUUAGAGUCGAAAACAAGGGCAAAAGAGUUUGGAAAAGUAGAUACAUUGGAGUCGUAUCAACUCCCCCAAGCUUAAACCUUUGCUUGUCCUCAAGCAAUUCAGUUGACAAACUGAAAGUGAUAAAGGAAAACUUUUACAAACUCUGUUUGAUCUUGUUGUUGCAAAUAUGUAAAGCCAGUACUCAAGUUUUCAGCAAAGAUUAUGAACUAACCAUAUACACAAUAACUUUUAGGUCUCACAUUCACUCAUACCAAUGGCAUAAUCAACUAGCGAGUAAUAAUAAUAAAUCUCGGAUGACAACACUUUCUCAAAACAAUCAUGAUAUGAUAUAA
rnacentral:rRNA from 1 species